rnacentral:rRNA from 1 species
UACGGAGGGUGCGAGCGUUGUCCGGAAUCAUUGGGCGUAAAGGGCGCGUAGGUGGCGGGAUCAGCGUGCGGUGAAAGCUCGGGGCUCAACCCCGGGUCGGCCGUGCGAACUAUUCUGCUGGAGCACUGUAGAGGCAGGCGGAAUUCCGGGUGUAGCGGUGGAAUGCGUAGAGAUCCGGAAGAACACCGGUGGCGAAGGCGGCCUGCUGGGCAGUGGCUGACACUGAGGCGCGACAGCGUGGGGAGCAAACAGG